rnacentral:rRNA from 1 species
AACGAACGCUGGCGGCAGGCUUAACACAUGCAAGUCGAGCGCCCCGCAAGGGGAGCGGCAGACGGGUGAGUAACGCGUGGGAACGUACCUUUUGGUUCGGAACAACUCCGGGAAACUGGAGCUAAUACCGGAUAAGCCCUAACGGGGAAAGAUUUAUCGCCGAAAGAUCGGCCCGCGUCUGAUUAGCUAGUUGGUGAGGUAACGGCUCACCAAGGCGACGAUCAGUAGCUGGUCUGAGAGGAUGAUCAGCCACACUGGGACUGAGACACGGCCCAGACUCCUACGGGAGGCAGCAGUGGGGAAUAUUGGACAAUGGGCGCAAGCCUGAUCCAGCCAUGCCGCGUGAGUGAUGAAGGCCUUAGGGUUGUAAAGCUCUUUUGUCCGGGAAGAUAAUGACUGUACCGGAAGGAUAAGCCCCGGCUAACUUCGUG